GUGCCAGCAGCCGCGGUAAGACGUAGGAGGCGAGCGUUAUCCGGAUUCACUGGGCGUAAAGCGCAUGUAGGCGGCUGGACAAGUCGUGUGUUAAAGCCCCUGGCUCAACUGGGGGAGGUCAUGCGAGACUGUACGGCUGGAGGGCAACAGAGGCACGUGGAACUCCCGGUGUAGCGGUGGAAUGCGUAGAGAUCGGGAAGAACACCAGUGGCGAAGGCGACGUGCUGGGUUGCACCUGACGCUGAGAUGCGAAAGUGUGGGGAGCAAACGGGAUUAGAUACCCCGGUAGUCC
rnacentral:rRNA from 1 species